ensembl:lncRNA
GGGACUGUGAGGGGCACUGGAAGGGCUGGUCCCAAGAGGCUGAUCUCUGCAGGGGUCAUGGGAGGGAUCCUCAAGGAGGAAGGAGGGGUGCCUGAAGACUGGAGGGGCUUAACUAAGGGCAGAGUUACUGGUGGAGGGAGCAGGGAUGGCGUGCUUGUGGAUCCCAGAGGCACAAGGGCUUAAGAGAGCAUCAGGGUGGCCCACCAUAGCCCUUGUCCUAGAGACGGCCCGAAGCUUCAGAAGUUUUACAGAGCAGAGAGGGGAGACCAGGGCUUUCCAGGUGGUACAGUAUAAAGAAUCUGUUUGCCGAUGCAGCGGACAUAAAAGACGUAGGUUCUAUUCCUGGGUUGGGAAGAUCCCCUGGAGAAGGAAAUGGCAAACCCACUCCAGUAUUCUUGCCUGGAAAAUCCCAUGGUCAGAGAAGCCUGGCGGGCUACAGUCCGUGGGGUCACAAAGAGUCAGACGCUACUAAGGAUUGAGCAUGUACACACACACUGAGAGGAGACCAGAUCCGCAAAAUUCACCUGGGCUGCCGGGGACAAAAGUGGGUACCGGAGAGGUCCCAGGAUCCCAGGAGAGUGAUGGCAGCCUGGCCCAGGGAAGUGGCCUCUGAGAUGGAGGGAAGGCUGGCCUUGGACAUGACUGGGAGGUCCAGAGCACAGGAGCUGGUGUGUCAUGGUGUGGGGGGAAAGGAGGCCGAGGAGGGAAGUGCCAGAACACUUCCAGGCUCUGGCUCCUGCAAGGAGGGUGGCUGGGGCUGUCCCCUAAGACAGGGCAGCCAAGGGAGCAGGUUCAUGGGAGGUCAGGUGUUUGUGUUGGGCCAGGGUGGGGACAGGCUGCAGGAACAGCCUGAGCAAAGGCGCAGAGAGGAGAAGGGCAAAGGAAACCACACAAGGACCGUGGAAUGUGCUGGAAUCUUCCAGAAAGUGGGACUGUGGCUGGUCUUGGUGCCCUUGACUGCAGGCAAAGAGGUCUGAAACCAAGUUGUAGUCAGCGGGGAGCAUAAGAAGGCAAGUUCCAAUGCUGGACAUGGGGAGGGCACCCAGCAGUGACCAACAGGGGCAGGGACUGAGCCUAUGACAGCAGGUGUCUACACCCCAGCACUGGAGGUGGGGAUGUGAAUGCUGGGGCAUGUCAUGAGCACACCUCUGGGACAGCCUAUAGGGUGGGUGAGUAAGAGUAACUGUGCGUGUGUCCCUUGCACUGAGUGUCCUAACCUUCACUCAAGGCAGGCCCUGGGGGACACCUCCAAAUCCUCCAGGACCAGAGUGUGUCUGACCAGGCCAGACCAGCUCAAGGAGGAUGAUGGAUGGAGGAGGACCUCAGCCACCAGUCACAGCCCUGGAAGUCUUGGACACACACACACACAUACCCACACAUGAAACCGCUGUGGAACCUGGAAGCAGCAUCUGGCCCCCUCCCCAAGGGAGCUGGGGCAGGUACCCCAGCUAGGCUGGAGAAGACAGUGUGGGACUCUGUCCUCAUGAUACCAUGGCCUAGAAGAGGGACCUGGCAAACCCGUCACUUUCAGUGUGGAGGGGAAAUUAUGAUGACGUGAGUGAGGCAAGACCUCUGGGAGACAAGAGGAGGGACCCUGAAUCCAAGAAGGCUUCCUGGAGGAGGUUGAAUCAACACUGUCUAGGAGAAUGAGUAAGAGUUGGGCAGGUUAAGUGACUUCCCUGGUGAUCCAGUGGCUGAGACUGUGCUCCCAAUGCAGGGGGCCCAGGUUCGGUCCUUGGUCAGGGAACUAGAUCCCACAUGCUGCAACCAAGAUCCGGAGAAGCCAAAUAAAUAAAUAAAUAGUUGGUCAGGUUAAGGGGGAGGGAAAGUGCUCCUGGCAGAGGGACCCACACGUAAGAAGGUCUCGAAGUCCAGGGUUAUCUCAGAGAACCCGAGAUCUCUAAACAGCUUUGUUGGACUGAACAGAUGCAAGGAAGUCAAGGAAGGAGCCAGGUCGGUCCUCAUCUUCAGCUGCUCUUCCCUUCUGCAGAGUCAUUUUGAUUUUGCACCGACUCCUUCCUCACAGGUGUUCACACCUUCCACCCCAGCUAGAGAUGAAAGGAGGACACUCACCAUUCAGUACUCACCCAGGCCAUCCAUCGACAGAAACGUCAGAUAGCGCAUCCACGCCUGAUCACCUCUCUCGGCUGCUGGGGGAGCCCACACAAGCAGGCGCAUCGAUGAGCUCCCGGCCUGCCAACUCUGGGCCUGCCUCAGACUGAUGCAGCUGGGUGGUGGCUUCUCUGGACUUCGCUUGAAAGGCGUAGCCUGGACCUUGCCGGGAGCCAUGGGUGCAGAGCACGCACCUCUGGCCUCUAUCUUGAAACACUGGACUGUGGAUCUGAUGCUGGGAGUUCAGACUGGAAAAGGAGAAACAUAGGAACCAGCAGGCGAUAUAAGGCCAGCGGGGAUGGUCUGGGAGCAGUAACGGCGAAGAUCACGGAGGCCCACCGUCCUGCACUCCAAAUCCCUGGCUACAUAGGUUCAGAACUCAGAAUUUCCCCAGUUGUAGGAGGAAAGGAUUACACGUAGACCACAUAUCUCCUAACACCCCCAGUGAAGUGUGGGGCAGCCCCUGUAAUCAGACGUGUUACCAGGCCUGCGGCAAAGCCUACGAACAAAGACACAAAUCCUCUCUGAAGCUCAGUUUUCUCGUCUCUAACGUGGAGCAAUGGCUGUACCAGGCUCACAGGGUUGCCCUGAGAAUUUGAUGCUUCCCGUGAUACCGGCCAGCCCGCAGGAGACACAGGUUCUUGGCCUGCCCCGAGCCCUCUGGGGCACGUGCUGCUCCUUUCCGGAAUAUUCAUCCCUAGAUGUCUCAGGAGAUAGCUCUCUCACUUCCUUCAGGACCCGCCCCAGCAGGACUUGCCCUGUCUAUCCCCGUCUCCUCCCGCCCCUGUUCUCCUUUGUCUUCCUUCCCAACCUCUAUCAUUUGAAGUAUCACUUAAAUCAAUUACUCCCUUGUUAAUUGCCUGCCCUCCUGCAGUAGAUUCCAAGCUCCGUGUAGUCAGGACUCUGUGCUGUCGCCCACUUUGCCCCAGAACUUAGGAAAGAGCUGGCACAGACGGGCGCUCUGACUUCUGUUGAAUGGGCGACAGUCUGUUAAAUGUGCCUUGUGCAUCGAAAAGGCUCAGUGAGGCCCAGCCCUGCACCAUCAGCCUUGUUAUUAUUGAUGCUGCUGUUAUUAUUUACUUUUUAGUUGCCCCAGGGCAUGUGGCAUCUUCCUGGACCAGGGAUCAAACCCAUCUCCUCUGCAUUGGCAGGUGGAUUCUUAACCACUCCACCACCAGGGAAGUCCCACUAUUAUGAAUAUUAUUAUUAGUAUCAUUACUCUGUUCCUGAGCUGAUCCCAGUCCUUGGUUCUCCAGCCUCUGAAAUGAGCAUCCUGGGGACUGAGGCAUCAGCCACCAGAAACAGAACAGGUUCUUGCUGGAGAGACAAAGGAGGCUGCCCGCCGCCCUGGGGGAGCCUGCGCCCCUCACUGGAGAGAGAGGCCUGGGAGAAGCUUGGAGAAGGCACACAGCCCCAUUGAACAGGGCUGCCAGAAGGCCAUACAUAAUUCAUUGCCAAAUGGGGCGGCGGGCGGCUGUGCGCUGGGGGCUCACUCCGCGCCUGGCACUUUGCUGACUGCUCCUCACACGUUGCCUCGUUGCAUCUUCUUGGAUUUGUGGGGUGCGAACCUUCCCCCGCCUCUCCCUUUUCCCCGGGGGGGAGCCUGAGGUUUAGAGGAUGGGGCCACCGUGCAAGUCACCAGCUUCUCAGUGGCCAAGCGGGAUCCACAGUCCCUGCCUCUCUCUGGAGGAAAGAGACAGCACUGGGGACCGAGUGGGGACUGAGACCUACCCGAGACGGGGCAGCAGAGGACGGGCCGGGUCACAGCAGGGCCAAAGGAAAAGGGCAGGGGACCCGCAGCCCACCUCCUCCUCCUCUCCUGGAGGACAAGCUCCCUGCUGUGGCCGCCAAGAGUGCUGGCUCUGGAGUUUCAAGGGCUCAGUUUGCUCAGCUGCAAAGUGGGAGGAACAGAACCCAUCCCCUGGGGCUCCGAGGUCCUGUAGACAGGAUGCUGGCUCAGAAAGGGGCAUCCGCCCAGGAGGAAAGCCAGUCCCCAAAAAGGUUACAUCCUCUGUGAUUCCCUUCAGAUAGCAUAUUUGAAGUCAUACAAUGAUAUGAUGGAGGACAGACUAGGGACACACUGGAUGGAGGUAGAGUCGGGGUGUGCUUUUGAAAGAGCCCCAGGAGGGAUCCUUGUGCUGAUGGAAAUGUCCUGCAUCCUCCCUGUGACGGAGGAUCUACAAUUUCAUCCUGUGAUGAAAUUGUAUAGAACUAGACACACAAAAGCGUGUAAGGGAAACUGGGGAAUCGGAGUAAGACUGGGGGCCAUGUCGACGUCUACAUCCCAGCCCUGAUACUGUCCCUGUUGUUCCGCUCGAUGCUUCCACUGGGGGAAGCUGGGUGAAGGGCACAGGGGGUCUCUCUGUACUACUUCCUACAACUGCACGUCCAUCUACAACCAUCUCAGUGGAGACGUCAAUUUUUAAAAAUGUCAUCUGGAGAAUUCCCUGGGGGUCCAGCGGUUAGGCCCUCACGGCUGAGGGCCCGGGUGUGAUCCCUGGUCAGGGAACUAGGAUCCCUCGUGUGGCACAGCCCCCCCAAAACAAAACAAUGUCAUCUGCCUCUGCCCCAGAAAGGAUUGCAUGAACCACCGCAAUUCGUCCUUUCCUCAGCUCUGAAUUGUCCUUUCUGCCUCACUCUGAGGGUCCCCAGUCUUUAUUCCAGAAUGUUCCUGUUGUCUCUCACUUUUGCCUAGACAGGACUUCAGUACUACCCCGUGGGAAUCUAGACAGACCCUAGAGGAGGACAAGGAAGGCCUUUGUCAUCUGUCUCCUGUCUGCAUCCAGCUGGGAAUCACAGCCACGCCAAGGCUCCCAGUCAGGAUUAUGAAAACCGUGAGCCCACCAGCCUUGGUCUUCCUCUCCAAGAGAGUGUGGGCCAGUGGAGAGCAUGCUGAGUGUCCGGCCCUACGGCUUCCAGACCCAGCCAAUCUUCUGCCGCACAGUGUGACUCCAGACAAUCCCUGUCCUCUUUUUGGUUCCUAGUUUCCUCAUCUGAAGCACAAACGAACUGGACUGGAUUAUCCUUAGGGUUCUUCCAGGUCCGUGGAGAGGUGAGCCUGGCCCCUAUGCUGCUACUCAGGGGACUCUCCUUGACAUUUGUGUGAUUGGUUGAGAAGAGCAGGGCCCAGGCCUGCCUCGGGCCCUCCCUGCCUUUUAGCAUCAGUGCAGUGAGAGGUCAUUAAGUCACUCAAAAAACGUGCAUUGAGCACUCACCAACUGCCAAACACUGGGGAAUAAAAGGUAGGGGGUGGAAGGGCAAUGCUGUCCCUGCCUUUGCGGAACCUGCAUUCUAGGAGGGAAGAAAGCCACAAAGAAAGACAAAAUAGCAACUGAGAUCAUGCAAAGAAGGAAAGCAGCAGCUGCAUUGGCAUGUUUCAGGGCCAUGGUGAGGGCUUCCCUGGGAAGUGACCAUUGAGCCACUGAGCUGAGAUCUGAGCAAGGAGUCAACUCUAAGCAAAGAAGGGGGAAGAUGGCCAAGGGUAGAGACUCCUCCACAACAGCAGCGGCAAGAGCUGGGGGCCCGUGCAGAGCAGUGGUCUGGAGUGACAGAUCGUGUUCCAGGAAAGAUCAACAGCUUCAGUGGGUGACACAGGAGAGCCGAGAUGAGGGGAGCCAGGCUGAGGAGCCUCGUCCCCAUCCCAGACAGAAGGGAUCCUGUGAGCUGCAUUACGCAAGGGAUUUGUGUUUUGGAUUUGGAAUUUUUGUGUUGGAUUUGUGUUUUGAAAAUCUCCUCCUGGUUACCAAGAGGAGAGGAGACCUCAUGGGUCCUCCUUGUUGCCUUAUAUUUUUACCAUAGUGUUAUUGAGGCAUGUCCAAGCAUUAAAUGAAGCAUAAGGUCCUUAUAGCUCUUUUUGAAGAUUGUUUUAUUUUAUUGUUUAUUUCCGUCUGUGCUGGGUCUUUGUUGCUGCAUGCAGGCUUUCUCUAGUUGCCGCGAGUAGGGGCUACUCUCUGACUGUGAUGCGCAGGCUUGUCACUGUGGUGGCUUCUCUUGUUGCAGAGCACAGGCUCUGGGUGCAUGCGCUUCAGUAGUUGCGUUGCUUAGGCAUGUGGAAUCUUCCUGGACCAGAGAUUGUACCUGCGCUGGCAGGUGGAUUCUUCACUGCUAGACCACCAGGGAAGUCUUCCUUAUAGCUGUGAGAGCCACAAAACCAAGACAAAUUGGUCAAGCAGAUACAAAAUCAAAUCGGAUUCGUUUCAUGGGACGUAUCUUUUUUUGAAACUCUGUCACCACCUACAGUGCAACUAUGGCCCAACUACUAUGGCUCUGAGUCUGUGGGACAGAGCAGAUUGGUUUUAUGAUCCAAGAAGAAAGGGGUAGACAACUCAAGAAAAAAAACGGAAGCAAUGAAUUAAAAUACUUCACAAAUGAAUAGCCAGAUAACCAGCAAAUGCAUGAUAAAAAGUGCCCAGCUUCACGACUCAUCAAGAGGAAACACAAAUUAAGAAGACAGUGAAGUACCACGUCA